ACGGUUACCCCACUCAGAAUCUAAGGAAAAAUUAGGGAUUCCUGAUUCGAGAUUCGAGAUAAAAGGUUUGCGUAAGAAGCUCGGUCAAAUCGGUGAGAUGGCAAUCUAAGAAUUUACGAGGAAACAUCUUGCUCAAGAUAUAUAUGAUGUAGAAAUGAGAGGGGAGUUUGACGUUGCAGUUAGCUUUGGUGGCGUUGUAGGCUUUGUAGCAUUAGUGUGUUUCAUGAUUAGAUGUUACGGCCGCGGCGGCGCGACUAAUGGAGUGGCUGAAAAAGACGGCGGUUUGGCAGUUUUGGAAGGGGGAGUAGAGAUCGCUCAAGCAGUUGUGGGAUUUGAGGGUGACUGCUGUUGCGGCGGUUGCGGUGGAGGUGCGCCUUGUGGAAUUUGAAUUUAUCACGUGCCGGCCUUAUGCUUUUAUUCAACAACUACAUACUCAUAUUUAUGAAUUUCCAUUUUCUUUAUCUUUCAAAUCGUCAUAUGUUCUCAUUACUUCACAAUGAUCGUGAAUUGUCUGUAAAUAACCUUAGUAACUUGAUUUCUCAUGUUUUAUAUAUAUGUUUU